UACGUAGGGACCAAGCGUUGUUCGGAUUUACUGGGCGUAAAGGGUGCGUAGGCGGCGUGGUAAGUCACUUGUGAAAUCUCUGAGCUUAACUCAGAACUGCUAAGUGAUACUGCUGUGCUCGAGUGUGGAAGGGGCAAUCGGAAUUCUUGGUGUAGCGGUGAAAUGCGUAGAUAUCAAGAGGAACACCUGAGGUGAAGACGGGUUGCUGGGCCAACACUGACGCUGAGGCGCGAAAGCCAGGGGAGCAAACGGG
rnacentral:rRNA from 1 species